GUGGGGUAACGGCCUACCAAGGCGACGACGGGUAGCCGGCCUGAGAGGGCGACCGGCCACACUGGGACUGAGACACGGCCCAGACUCCUACGGGAGGCAGCAGUGGGGAAUAUUGCGCAAUGGGCGAAAGCCUGACGCAGCGACGCCGCGUGGGGGAUGAAGGCCUUCGGGUUGUAAACCCCUUUCAGCAGGGACGAAGCGAAAGUGACGGUACCUGCAGAAGAAGCGCCGGCUAACUACGUGCCAGCAGCCGCGGUAACACGUAGGGCGCAAGCGUUGUCCGGAAUUAUUGGGCGUAAAGAGCUCGUAGGCGGUCUGUUGCGUCCGCUGUGAAAACUCGGGGCUUAACCCCGAGCCUGCAGUGGAUACGGGCAGACUAGAGGUAGGUAGGGGAGAAUGGAAUUCCCGGUGUAGCGGUGAAAUGCGCAGAUAUCGGGAGGAACACCGGUGGCGAAGGCGGUUCUCUGGGCCUUACCUGACGCUGAGGACCGAAUGCGUGGGGACCAAACAGGAUUAGAUACCCUGGUAUUCCACGCCUUAAACGUGGGGCCCUAGGUGUGGGAUC
rnacentral:rRNA from 1 species